UACGGAAUGUGCAAACGUUAUUCGGAAUCACUGGGCUUAAAGAGUCCGUAGGCGGCUUGUUAGGUGAGGUGUGAAAUCCCCCGGCUCAACCGUGGAAUUGCGCUUCAAACCGGCAAGCUUGAGGAGGAUAGAGGUGGGCGGAACUGAUGGUGGAGCGGUGAAAUGCGUUGAUAUCAUCAGGAACACCGGAGGCGAAAGCGGUC
rnacentral:rRNA from 1 species